rnacentral:snRNA from 1 species
AAAAAUAUGGAUCGCUUCACUAAUUGCAUUUCAUCCUUGUGCAGGGGCCAUGCUAAUCUUCUCUGUGCCAUUCCAAUUUUAGUAUAUGUGCUGCUGAAGGGAGCAC